GUAACUGCAUUUCCUGGCAUAAAUAUCAGAGGAAGUUUUGGUGUAUGAAGGUUUGAAAGGCUGGUGUGUGUGUGUGUGUGUGUGUGUGUGUGUGUGUGUGUGUGUGUGCAGAAUGACUGCAUCCCAGAGCCAUCUACCCCCGUGACAGGACCUCCAGGACAGCUAGUGUGAAUGGUCAGUCUGGUUGGAAUACUAAGUUGGUGCAAUGGUGAAUGAGGGCCUGGAAGAGGGUAGAUAGUAGGUGAGAGAGUCUGGGUCCCUUGGGAUUUAAAACAGAUGCAUAGGCAAUAUCCCAGGCAACUCAGUGCAAAGCAAAGGAGGUCGAAGCCACGGAUAUGCCAGUUCUGUGGGCAAGCCGUCCUCUGAGAUGAUCUGUGCCUGCACACCAAUCGUGAGCGAUACAGGACUCCGCCGGCUGCAUUCUGAGCACUUUCCUGUAUAGCGGCUGUGGGCGUUACUGAAUGUGGCCAAGGUUUGUAGGGUCUGAAAUAGGUUAAAAUCUGGCAUUUUUGGACCUGUGUAGUUUCUGACCAAUCGUUUUGAACGAUCCUCAAGUGAAUGAAGAAACAGUCCACUCCAGGAAUCCUUCCUGGGCUCUCUUUAGGUGAGACUAGAAGAAUUCUCCCAGUUGCCUUGCUGAGCAUUAUCAUGAGCAUUAUUAUAAUACUCAGCAAUAUCACAGAAGAGAGGCAGACCUGAGCGAUGCCGAGGGUGGGGGGUCUGGAGUGUUGUAAAAAUCUCCAGAUUUGAAGCUGGAUAACUGUUCACAAGGGGGUCAAAAAUGUGUGUGUGGUGGUAGUGGUGGUGGUGGGUGAGCUGUACGGAUUAGAAUCACAGAGGGUGUGUUCCCACUCCCCUCACCCUUCCCUCUUUUCAUCUGAGCCCAAAUGCAAAUCAGAUCUUGAGAGAGCACGUUUUCUUUUGUGGAAUUAUGUCUGGCUAUGAGCUGUUUGUUCUGACGCUCGCUGUUUGUACAAAGGUCCGCCCUGGUGCAGGUUUAGUUCUUCCUUGUUGUUGUUGACUCGACACAAGCUAGACAUUUGGUAAGAAGGGACCUGGAGUGAGAAAAUACUCCCGCCUACUUGGCCAGUGGGAAGGUCUGUGUCUUGUCACAUGUGGCAGGGUCAGAGACCCUAGAGAGUUCAGGAGAGGCUGUUGGUCAAUGUGCAGCCUCACUUAUAGUGGAAACCCAUACAGGAUACACGCGAGAUGCCAGGACCACGGGUCAACCACCAAGGACAGUGGCACGUGAGGAGUAGACUGGCUUAAAGCCUAGGAGAAAAGCUACGUUUGCGGUGGGUGGCAGAGCUGGAGAGGUGGGUCUACCCAAGUCGUUUGGAGCCCAGAAGGUUUGUGAGUUUAAGAUGUCAGACACUGUGUUAUUACAGUGUUGGAGUUUGACUUUGCUUUAAUUGUUACUGUGCCCUGGUCUUUCUUCUUGGCGUAAAAAAGUAUUUAAAGCUGUUUUUUGUUUGUUUGUUUGUUUUAUAGGAAUCCACACUUGAGAGGCUGUGGACUGACUUCAAAAGAUAACUUGGACUUUUAAAAUAUUGAAAAGUAAAAAAAAAAUGGUUAUACUGAGUUUUACAUUAUGAUAUGAGCAGGAGAUCUUAGGAUAAAUCAAAGAAAACGUUAUUGGUUGAAUAGUGAUGUGUUUGUGUUUCAGAUUGACAAGAGAUCAGUUGUGUGUGUGUGUGUGUGUGUGUGUGUGUGUGUGUGUGUGUGUGUGUGUGUGUGUUUCCAACUUGACACAAGCCAGAGUCAUUUAGGAAGAGGGACCCUUAACUGAGAAAAUGCCUUCAUGAGAUGGGCCGGUAGGCAAAUCUGUGGUGUAUGUUCUUGAUUAAUAAUUAAUGUGGGUGGGCCCAGCCCAUUGUGGGUGAUGCUAUCCUUGGGCAGGUGGUCCUGGGUUCUAUAAGAAAGCAGACUGAACAAGCCAGUAAGCAGCAUUCCUAGAUGGUCUUUUCAGUUUCUCCCUCUAGGUUCCCGCCUCGAGUUCUUGCUCUGACUCCCCUUCCUGAUUGACUGUAAGAUGAAAUAAACCCUUUCCUCCCCGA